GGAGCUCGGGGCGGGGGCGGGGGGUCGUGAUGGAUCCCGGCGCCGCGUCGCUCCUCCGAGUCUCGUCUGCGAGGCGAGGCGGCCCGGGCCCGACGUUUCUAGCGGAGGGAGCCGCGUGCCUGGGCCUGGUCCCCGAGGCCGCUGCGCUGCGAGAGGGGAGCCCGGGUGUGGGGAGGGGCCAUUCCGGGAGUUGACCCUGCUCUGAGGUCGGGCGGCCGCGGGGACCCUGACCUUCUGAGCCACCGGCUUCUGAGGAGACCCGGAGCCCCCUCCUGGAGAAGGCGCCCCUCGGCCCCCGUCCUGGGGCAAGGGCACCAGGGCAAUACUGGCCUGGGGCUCACGCGGGUCGGAGCGCAGCGGGGGGGGGAGAUGAGCAGCGGAGCCCGAGGGUGCCUGGCCUUGUUCUGAGCCUUUUGGAGAGGAAAGUGACCAGCCCAAGGUCACCACACCACGGAGAGGUGUGUCGGCCCAGUCCUUCCUCCAGUGUUUCACGAUGGCCAGCACUGCCUUCAACCUGCAGGUGGCCACCCCUGGGG
rnacentral:sRNA from 1 species